GGUAAAUCACUCUCUCAAGUCUCAACUUUAGCUUACCAGAUCUCUGUCUAAUUGCGAAACCCUGAUAUUAAUAGUUCUUCUUUAACCCUUUUUACUCGAAAAAAAAACAAAAUCUUCCUAAACCCAUAAGCUAGGUCCCAUGUGAAUGAUCAGAAAGGAUCCCAAGUAUUGGACUAAAGAACCCACUCAACAUAUGUGGUCUUCAGCA